rnacentral:lncRNA from 1 species
UUGUAGUGAGCCGAGACCCACGCCACUGCACUCCAGCCUGCGUGAGAGAGUGAGACUCCGUCUCAAAAAAACAAACAAACAAACAAACAAAAAAGAACUUCCCGAGAUGGAGUGACUUAUAAAGGAAAGACAUAUAAUUGACUCACAGUUCAGCAUGGCUGGGGAGGCCUCAGGAAACUUGCAAUCACGGCGGAAGGUGAAGGAGAAGCAAGGCGCCUUCUUCACAAGGUGGCAAGGAGAAGAGUGGCGGAGCGAAGGGGGAAGGGCCCCUUAUAAAACCAUCAGAUCUCGUGAGACUCACUCACUAUCACGAGAACAGCAUGGGGAAAACUGCCCCCAUGAUUCAAUUUCCUCCACUUGGUCUCUCCCUUGAUACGUGGGGAUUAUGGGGAUUACAAUUCAAGAUGAAAUUUUGAAUGGGGACACAGCCAAACCAUAUCAGUCAACAAUAUAGAGGCAGAGAUCUUAAAGACUUAGACUAUUGGACUUUCAACUUUUGGAACCUCCAAAAGCCAGGUGAAAACAGCAACAGGAUCGGAAGCCAAAGUGAAAGCUGAAGACUGUGCAGAUGAACAAGACACCAAAAUGAUUCAGCAGAUCCAGUGCUGCUUACGGUGUCAGUUUUCAAUUAGGGUGCUGUUUGGAGCCUUUGACAGGCCUAGGUGAGUCACAGCCCAGGUCCAUAGGAUUUUGGAGCAAAGCCCUGCCAUUAUCUACAGAUAACUACUCUCUUUUUAAGAAAUAGUUCUUGGCCUGUUACUGAACCUUAGUAGAAACUGAAUGUUUAACCAUGGAUCACCAAGUUACCAGGUAACCUGAGCUGCCCAUCAUGAACUGGGUGUUAUCUGACCCACCAAGCCAUAAGGUUGGGCAUGCAUAGCAGCACUCCAUCAUUGAAUGGAAGCAAUAUAUACAUGACUUGUCCCAAGCAGGCCCUGAAGGCACAAGUAAGCUACAUGAAAUGCCUGUGGUCCCCACAGCUGCUACGCUGCCUUCUUUCUCCCAGUCUCACCUGUGGCCUUAUGGGGAGUUCCCUACAAUCAAUUGACAGAGAAACAGAAGAUUUGGGCCUGGUUCCGCACAAUAUACUUGAAAGUAGACAGCAAUAGCACUUCAGCCCCUUUCUGAGACAUUCCUGGAGGACAUUGGUGAAUAGAAAUCUUCCCAGUGACCAGAAUUUUGAGCAGUGCACAUGGUUGCUCACUCUGCUAGGAAGGAGAAAUGACCAGAUGUGCAAUAAUAUGCCAAUAUAUGGGCUAUUGGCAAUGGUUUGCCUGGAUGGUAAGGGAUUGGAAGGAACAUGAUUGGAAAAUUGUUGGCAAGGGAAUGUGGGGAAGAAGUACAUGGAUAGACCUAUCUGAAUGGGCAAAAAUUGUGAAGAUGUUUGUGUCCUAUGUGAAUGCUCACCAAAGGUUGACCUCAGCAGAGGAAGAUUUUAAUCAAGUGCAUAGGAUGAUCUAUUCCAUAGAGAUCAGUGAGCCUCUUUCCUCAGUCACCCCAUCAUUGCCCAAUGGGCUCAUGAACAAAGUGGCCAGGGUGGCAAGAAAGAAGGCUAUGAAUGGGCUCAGCAACAUGGACUUCCACUCAACAAGGUCAACCUAGCUAUGACCACUGCUAUGUGCCCGAUAUUCCAGUAGCAGAGACCAACACUGAGCUCCCAAUAUGGCACCAUUCCCGAGGCUAAUCAGCCAGCUACCUGAUGGCAGGUUGAUUACAUUGGCGUGCUUUCAUCAUGAAAAGCUGGGACAUCUAUCUUCUCCUGCCUUCACACUCAGACUCAGAUUGGAUCUUACACUAUUGGCCUUCCUGGUUCUCAGGUCAAAAUACAACUAUACCAUCAGCAAUCCUGAAUCUCCAGCUUGCUGACUGUAAAUCUUAGGACUUCUCAGCUUUCACAACCAGAACCCAGACUAAUACAAGAACCAAAUCUACGUCCAAGGCAAGGCAACGUAGUAAAGCAAGAAAUCAUCAGAACCUGGCUUGGGACUGAAGUGGAAGAAGAAGGGCUGUUCAUUGGCAAGAAUCAAAGUUUUUAAAUCAUAAAACAGACAUAGGCGCCGGGCGCCGUGGCUCACGACUGUAAUCCCAGCACUUUGGGAGGCUGAGAUGGGUGGAUCACCUGAGGUCAGGAGUUUGAGACCAGCGUGGUUAACAUGGCAAAACCCUGUCUCUACUAAAAAUACAAAAAUUAGCCAGGCAUGGUAGUGCGCACCUAUAAUCCCAGCUCCUCAGGAGGCUGAGGCAGGAGAAUUGCUUGAACCCGAGAGGCAGACGUUGUAGUGAGUUGAGAUCAUGCCACUGCACUCCAGCCUGGACGACAGAGCAAGACUCCGUCUCGGAAAAGAAAAAAAAAUAGACAUAUUCAUUUUUUACUUUACAGUCUAAUAGGAAUUUUUUCCUGUUAGAAAAUAUUAUUUGUAAAUGUAAUUUUAAUUGUUGUAUAAUAUUCCAUCAAAUAAAUAUAUCACAAUUUAUUUAGCCAUUCAUAUUUUUAGACCUUGGGGUUGCAUCAUCUUCCUCUUCUUCUUCCUUCUCCUCCUCCUCUUCCUUCUCCCAUUCAUUUUUCUUCUUUGCUGUUUUAAUUAACACUUAAAUAUACAUCCUGGUACCAGAGUAUAGAUGAAUAUAUGAACAAAUGAAAUAAUAGAUCUGUAUUGAACAUCUUUAACGCUAAUAUUCAUUAUCAUCACUAAUUAUUAUAUUACCUUAAGGAGAAUUCCUAGGAGUAAUAGUACUUAAUCAAAAGACUUACUUUUAUACUGCCAUUUCCAUUUCCCGUCAGAUAGGUUGGACCAAUUUAAUAUUCACUAACAGCAUAUAAGGGCUCCCAUUUUCC